GUAUGGUGCUAUGAAGGAGCAGUUAUUUACGUAAGGCUGUGGGAGUCUGUGUCAGCAGGGAAGAGACUGGUGGGGCUUGAGGAGGGGCCUCCCAUAAGAAAUAAACUCU